ACCUGCCUCCACCGUCACCCGCCACCCUCGCCACAAGUACAUGCGUACAUUCCUCAUUUGGCCACUACUCACCUUUGAGGACUUGCUGGGUUAAUUCUCUGCUGCCACACUGUUUAGCCAUUUCUUCCUGGGCUGUGUGCUGUCCUUGAUGGCCCAUGAGCUUCCCACCGUGCCCUAAUCCAAC